GUUGAGGAGUUCCUCCCUAAAGGUAAAAGAAAAGACAUCAAUCACAGUGAAACUGCAUUUCAACAGUGGGUCAUUCCAUCAUAAACUCAAGUCUUAUGAAUGUAAAUUCUAGAAUUAUAAAGAAAUAACAGGUUAUUCUAUUUUAACUUCAUCCUACAGUAUAUCAAAUAUUAUAUUGAGAUAUUUGGCUCUACAAUACAAUAUUCAAAAAGAAUACCACUGUCUUCUGUAUUUGAGCCUCUUUGGGGUGGAUUUACUGCAAAGACAAUCCCUUUCAACAAUGCUUCAACAAUGCAACACAUUUUAUUGUUUUAUUGUCUAAAAAACUGGAUGUCUCUCUGAAAUAGAGAAAUACAUACACAUGACAUUAUUAAACAGUAUUAUGGUAACACUUUACAAUAAGGUUCUAUUCGUUAACAUUAGUUAAUGAAUAAGGUAUCAUGAACAAACAAUUAACAAUAUGUUUGUUACAUAAUUUAUUAAUCUUUGUUAAUAUUAGUUAAUAAAAAUACUAUUGUUCAUUGUUAGUUCAUGUUAGUUCAUAGUGCAUUAACUAGUGUUAACAAACAACUUUUGAUUUAAAAAAUCUAUUACUGUUAGUGCUGUCGAAAGAUUCGUUUAAAGCCACACAUUUUCUUAACGCCAAUGCGUAAUAUGGCCCUUUUAAUAAACUGUAGUUUACGAGAAGCUAAUCAGUUCACGCAAAUGCCGCUAAUGUCACAUGCACUGACCGUUGGGAAAACAGAUGGCAGGAGACAUUAUGCUGAUACCUGCUUGAAGAAUUUUAUCAAUGUAGCACAGCAGUAGAACAUGCCUGCAAAGCACAGAUAGAGCUCAGAACUUUGCAACAUGAUUGCAGUGGCAAGACAGCUGCCAUUUGAACACCAGCCUUGCACUGCGAGGCACGUUCAGAAAGUUGCGAGCGCGAAGUGAAAGUGUGAGCGUGAGGCGAUAGUCUGUGUACAGCAACUGCUACCGGGUCGUUAAAUAACGUAUAAUGUGCCAGUAAAGGCAGCCGGUGGAGUUUCUGGUGCCCCCCUAGGGAGAUGGUGCGCUACACAGACUGCGUAACGUGUAUAGGGAGUGUAGGUACUGAUUACCGGCUAACGGAAACACUGCUGCUGUCUCCAAGGUUCUGUCACAUUGUCUCUGUUUGAUAGUGCACUAGCCAAUGCAGAAGUUGGAGACAUUGCUGGAACCCUGCAGGUAAUCAACUCAUUUAAUCCCACCAGUUACAAUUGUGACUGGGGUCUAAAAUUAGUUUUAAUGUAUUAAUGUAUAUUGUAAAUGACAGUGCAGACUUUUUUUGCAUGUGUCAAAACAACAUAAAAGAAGAAAAUAAAUCCUGUCAUAAUACACUUACAACUACCAUAUAUAUGAUCAUUUUCUGUUGUUCUAAUCUGUUGGUGGGGUAGGUUUUGUGUGGAUGACUGAAAAAUAUAUCUGGAUGAAGCAUAUUUUGUCCACUCAUGUUUAUAAAGAUAUUGCGAUUAAUCAUGAUUACAGUUGAAGUCAGAAGUUUACAUACACCUUAGUCAAAUACAUUUAAACUCAGUUUUUCACAAUUCCUGAUAUUUAAUCAUAGAAAACAUUCCCUGUCUUAGGUCAGUUAGAAUCACUACUUUAUUUUAAGAAUGUGAAAUGUCAGAAUAAUGGUAGAGUGUAGAGAUUGAACGAUAAUAGGUUUACGAUAUUUUUACAGAUAUUCACACCUUAUUACAUAAUCGGUUAUCGGUUUUGUAAUAUCGGUUUCAUGGAUCAAUGGCGCCAUCUUGUGGAUCCCUUGUGAACAGCAUGCAAGAGUGUCAUUACAGCACUGCCAGCAUUGGGAGACAGAUACAAUGUUGUUUAAAGGUGACACUAAGAGCGGAGAUGUGUGUGUCAUUUGCUACUGGACAGGUUGCAGACGUGCUGCUCAUUGUAAUAACAUGUUUUGACAGCACUUCACAGGAUGUACUGGAUUGCUGGCAGGGGGUGCUCCAGCGGCUAUGAGCAAAGUCAAACAAACAAAGAGCUUUUACCUGUUUAAAACAAGACGCUUCAGACAGAGGGCUGGGGGCUGUACUCUCGCAGGUGGUGGAGGGGGAGGAGCGCCCCGUGCUGUACAUUAGCCGCAAGCUCUCGCUGAGGUAGAUUAAGUAA